rnacentral:rRNA from 1 species
CCUACGGGAGGCAGCAGUGGGGAAUAUUGGACAAUGGGCGAAAGCCUGAUCCAGCAAUGCCGCGUGUGUGAAGAAGGCCUUCGGGUUGUAAAGCACUUUAAGUUGGGAAGAAAAAGCUCUGGCUAAUAUCUAGAGCCUUGACGGUACCAACAGAAUAAGCACCGGCUAACUCUGUGCCAGCAGCCGCGGUAAUACAGAGGGUGCUAGCGUUAAUCGGAUUUACUGGGCGUAAAGCGUGCGUAGGCGGUUUGAUAAGUCGAUUGUGAAAGCCCCGGGCUUAACCUGGGAAUUGCAGUUGAUACUGUCAGACUAGAAAACGGUAGAGGGAGGCGGAACUCCAGGUGUAGCGGUGAAAUGCGUAGAUAUCUGGAAGAACACCGAUGGCGAAGGCAACCUCCUGGGCCUGUUUUGACGCUGAGGCACGAAAGCGUGGGUAGCAAACAGGAUUAGAUACCCUGGUAGUCCACGCCGUAAACGAUGAGAACUUGACGUUGGUUUAGCUUAGCAAAUCGGUGUCGUAGCUAACGCGAAUAAGUUCUCCGCCUGGGGAGUACGGCCGCAAGGUUGAAACUCGAAAUGAAUUGACGG